AUUGUUAUUUUCACACAAUAUAUCAUCUUCAAGGCCGUUUGAAAUGCCAUCCACGUUAAGAACUGCCAUCCACGUUAAAAAUAAUGUCAUUUGAACGAAAGAUUUUGAACCGUCGCCCAUUGUUCGCUCUUUUUUUACACAGGAUUUUAAAUUUAGUACUCAAAUGGCAGCUCUUUUUUGAC